rnacentral:rRNA from 1 species
AUGAUAUGCUUAAGCUGGAACUGCCGGGGGCUUGGGAACCCCGAGGCAGUUCGCGAGCUUCGCAGCGUUGUGAAGUAAGAAGGCCCUACUCUGGUUUUUGUCAUGGAAACAAAGAUCAGAGGGAAACGUGUCGAGAGACUACAGAAGACCUUAGGAUUUGUUGGAUGUUUUGCUGUUGAUAGCGUUGGACUAAGUGGAGGCCUUGGUCUCUUCUGGUCUAAGGAUGUUUCGGUAGAACUCAAGAACUACAGUUCGGCCCACAUUGAUGUUGUGGUGCGCGAUGCUUUGGAUACCUCGGUGAGUUGGCGAUUCAUCGGGUUUUAUGGAGCGCCUAGAGCUGAGAACAGGCAUCACAGCUGGCGGUUCCUUCGUACCCUACACAGCCUCUCGCAUGAUGAGUGGUUGCGUAUGGGUGAUUUUAAUGAAACUCCAUAUGGGGAAGAGCAUUUUAGUCGGACAGCAAGACCGGAAUGGCAAAUGAGAGCAUUUCGUGAUGUUACCGAUGAUUGUGGGUUCCACGAUUUAGGUUGGUCCGGAGUUUCCUGCACAUGGGACAACUGA